rnacentral:rRNA from 1 species
UACGUAGGGUGCGAGCGUUAAUCGGAAUUACUGGGCGUAAAGGGUGCGCAGGCGGUUAUAUAAGACAGAUGUGAAAUCCCCGGGCUCAACCUGGGAACUGCGUUUGUGACUGUAUGACUAGAGUACGGUAGAGAGGGGUGGAAUUCCUGGUGUAGCAGUGAAAUGCGUAGAUAUCAGGAGGGACAUCGAUGGCGAAGGCAGCCCCUUGGACCUGUACUGACGCUCAUGCACGAAAGCGUGGGGAGCAAACAGG